UCUUUUUAGUAUUUAUUUGGAAAUGUACGAGAAAACUUGAAAAACUGUAAAAUUGAAAUUUUUAAAAGUGUAUCUAAAUUUCGAGUUUUUGGUGGUAUUACUUUGGAAAAAUAUUUUAAAUUGCUUGAACCAAAAUCAUAUUUAGAUGCUACGACUCGUGCACUUGGUUUACCUUUGCCAGGUUAUCAUGUCCCCUGGCGAGAGUCAGCACAAGCCUGGAAGAUGCUAUCGACAGGCAGUGGAGCGACGUGAAAAUGUCGUCCCGUCGAGCCUUUGCCAUGUGUCGCGCUCGGUCCACUGUGCAGGAUGGUCAGUGGAGUUCUUGCGCAAACGAUUAAGAGUUCUGUAGCAGGACUGUGGUUCUAGUAGGAGACUGAUUUGAUUGGAUUUCGUAAAGUUAUAGAUAUAUGAGAGUUAAUAUUAUUAUUUAUUCAGCAUAAAUUCCGUGCCCUCCAUCUACCGUUCUUUGAAGUUGGGGGCCUUGAAGGGAUUACGAUUACCGGACUUGUGAGCAGCUGUGGAUAUAGUGGGCUGCAUAUACGAUCAGAGAACUAUCUCAGGGCACGGCUGCUCUCCUUUUCAUGGCUCCCCCGCAUUCCUUGGAUACGGUAGUGGUCGAGUCAGCUUCUCUGAGGAUGUGUGGAGCGCCUUGAGAUCGGGAAUUGGUGUGCCGAGGUCCCUGUUGUCGGUACCAUAGAAAAUAAAUGUAUGAAAUAUAUGAAGAUCUAUAAAAGGAACUGAAAUGUUAGAAGAUGUAAUCCCCACCUGGAAACGAGUCCCAGCCAAUUACGCGGCCUUUCCCGAGCCGAAGAACUGGGCAUUACAUUUCCCAAAAUGGUUGGAACCACCCUCUGCCCCAGCCACUGCCCCUGCCCCAA